rnacentral:rRNA from 1 species
UACGGGGGGGGCAAGCGUUGUUCGGAAUUACUGGGCGUAAAGGGCUCGUAGGCGGCCAACUAAGUCAGACGUGAAAUCCCUCGGCUUAACCGGGGAACUGCGUCUGAUACUGGAUGGCUUGAGAUUGGGAGAGGGAUGCGGAAUUCCAGGUGUAGCGGUGAAAUGCGUAGAUAUCUGGAGGAACACCGGUGGCGAAGGCGGGUUGCUGGGCUGACACUGACGCUGAUGCGCGAAAGCCAGGGGAGCGAACGGG